rnacentral:rRNA from 1 species
AUUGAACGCUGGCGGCAGGCCUAACACAUGCAAGUCGAACGAGUGGCGGACGGGUGAGUAAUGUCUGGGAAACUGCCCGAUGGAGGGGGAUAACUACUGGAAACGGUAGCUAAUACCGCAUACCAUCGGAUGUGCCUCGAUGGGAUUAGCUAGUAGGUGGGGUAACGGUUCACCUAGGCGACGAUCCCUAGCUGGUCUGAGAGGAUGACCAGGCACACCGGAACGGAGACACGGUCCAGACUCCACCGGGAGGCAGCAGAGGGGAAUAUUGCAGAAUGGGCGCAGGCCUAAUGGAGCCAUGCCGCGUGUAUGAAGCAGGCCUUCGGGUUGUAAAGUACUUUCAGCGAGGAGGCGUUACUCGCAGAAUAAGCACCGGCUAACUCCGUGCCAGCAGCCGCGGUAAUAC